GGGGGAACCUGCGGAAGGAUCAUUG
rnacentral:rRNA from 1 species